AUGUACUACUUGUACACUCCGGUUCCUGCGCUCCGCCGCCCCCGCCUGAAAGCCG
rnacentral:sRNA from 1 species